GGCGCAUCCGUCACCGUCUUCGCCAUACCAGC
rnacentral:sRNA from 1 species